GACGAACGCUGGCGGCGUGCUUAACACAUGCAAGUCGAACGGAAAGGCCCUGCUUUUGUGGGGUGCUCGAGUGGCGAACGGGUGAGUAACACGUGAGUAACCUGCCCUUGACUUUGGGAUAACUUCAGGAAACUGGGGCUAAUACCGGAUAGGAGCUCCUGCUGCAUGGUGGGGGUUGGAAAGUUUCGGCGGUUGGGGAUGGACUCGCGGCUUAUCAGCUUGUUGGUGGGGUAGUGGCUUACCAAGGCUUUGACGGGUAGCCGGCCUGAGAGGGUGACCGGCCACAUUGGGACUGAGAUACGGCACAGACUCCUACGGGAGGCAGCAGUGGGGAAUAUUGAACAAUGGGCGGAAGCCUGAUGCAGCAACGCCGAGUGCGGGAUGACGGCCUUCGGGUUGUAAACCGCUUUCGCCUGUGACGAAGCGUGAGUGACGGUAAUGGGUAAAGAAGCACCGGCUAACUACGUG
rnacentral:rRNA from 1 species